rnacentral:rRNA from 1 species
UACGUAGGGUGCAAGCGUUAAUCGGAAUUACUGGGCGUAAAGCGUGCGAAGGCGGUCUUGUAAGAAAGAGGUGAAAUCCCCGGGCUGAACCUGGGAACUGCCUUUGUGACUGCAAGGCUUGAGUACGGCAGAGGGGGAUGGAAUUCCGCGUGUAGCAGUGAAAUGCGUAGAUAUGCGGAGGAACACCGAUGGCGAAGGCAGUCCCCUGGGCCUGUACUGACGCUCAUGCACGAAAGCGUGGGGAGCAAACAGG